UUUGUACUCCCUCCGUCCCAAAAUUCUUGUCUUAAAUUUGUCUAAAUACGGAUGUAUCUAGUUACAUUUUAGUGUUAGAUACAUCCGUAUCUAAACAAAUGUAAGACAAGAAUUUUGGGACGGAGGGAAUACUAA
rnacentral:pre_miRNA from 1 species